AACCUGCCCGGCAACGGUCUGCAGCCCCCGCGGCUUCCAGUCUGCCCCUCCUUCACAAUAUUCGGCUACGGGUGCUGGUCCAGCCCGGGGAAGGACCGAAGGGGACCGAGCGUGGCCCACGGCGGCUGCAAGAGGAUCGAAGCAUGAAUGGCAGCCGGAGAGUCAGAGCAACCUCUGUCCUUCCCAGAUAUGGUCCGCCAUCCAUAUUUAAAGGACACUUGAGCACCAAAAGUAACGUGUUUUGCACUGACUCCUCCUCUCUCAGACUAAGUACUCUCCACCUGAUCAAGAAUCACAUGGCUGUUCACUAUAAUAAAAUCCUUUCAGCCAAAGCUAUGGUAGACUGCUCAGUUCCACUCAGUAUGAGUGCCAGCAUCAAAUAUUCAUUCUUCCCAUCAGAUGCAGACCAACAACGAAGAGAGAAACUCAAAAAGGAAUUAGCACGAUGUGAAAGGGAGUUGAAAUUACCUAAAACCGAAGUGCAGGCCAAUUCUAAAAAUAAUUCCAAGUCAUUAUUUAACACUCUACAAACGCCUUCAGGAGAACCACAAGAUGAAGAUGACGUGUUAAUCGAAGAAGUGAAUGGCUAUUCGUCCUUUUCAAGGUCACCAGUAACUUCUUCAGAGAAACUACACAUAAGUCUACCUAAAUCCAAUAAAGAUCUCACAAAUGGUACUGAGAAGACCGCCAGCUCCUUCCUGUCCAGUGUGGAUUAUACCACCUCCGGGCCGAGGAGACUGUCGUCUGGAACCUCAUGUGGCAGAGGCCCUCGGAGCACAUUCCCGAAUGCCCAUCGGUUUCAGUUAGUUAUUUCAAAAGCACCCAGUGGGGACCUUUUGGAUAAACAUUCUGAACUCUUUUCUAACAGACAUUUGCCAUUCACUCCACGCACUUUAAAAUCAGAAGCAAAAUCUUUCCUGUCACAGUAUCGAUACUAUACACCUGCCAGAAGAAAAAAGGAUUUUACAGAUCAGCGGAUAGAAGCUGAAACCCAGACUGAAUUAAGCAGCUUUAAAUCUGAUUUUGAGGCAGUUGAGACUAAGAACGUCACAAAUUCAGAAGUGAACAUAAAACAGCCCCAGGCAUCUAGUUGUACGACAUGUGGUACCAAAGAAAGAAUAACCCGUUUACCUUUACAAGGUCCUGGCUUACCCCGGGAUGAGAUUAAAGACGAUGCUCUUCAGUAUUCCCCGUCAAGUGAAGAAGAACUGUUGUAUCUGAGUUUCAUUGAAGAUGUAACAGAUGAAAUUUUGAAACUUGGUUUAUUUUCAAACAGGUUUUUAGAACAGCUGUUUGAGCGACAUAUAAGACAAAAUAAACACCAUUUGGAGGAGGGGAAAAUGCGACAUCUGCUGCAUAUCCUAAAGGUGAACUUAGGCUGCACAGCCAAGGAAAAGCUAGAUGACAUAAAACUAGAGGAAGAUGAUAUGUUGAAUUUACUUGAUUUUGAAGUGGCUGAAAGUUCAGAACAAAAUGAAUAUAAAAAUGAACAAGAUGCAGCAAUUCAACAGGAACGUCAAGAAUACCAAAAAGCUUUGGAUAUGUUAUUGUCUGCACCAAAGGAUGAGAAUGAGAUAUUCUCACCAAAUGAAUUUUUCAUGCCUGUCUAUAAAUCAAAGUAUUCAGAAGGGGUUAUAGUUAAGCAGGUAAAUGAUGAAACAAAUCUUGGACCUUCAAUUUGGGAUGAAAAAAAUCCAAGUAUGUCAGAGAACGUAACAGACCAAGAAACCUCUGUGAAUGUCAUUGAAGGUGACAGUGAUACUGAAAAGGUUGAGACUUCAAAUGAAUUAUGUUGUCUCAGCACAGCACUUUCCCAGUCUGUUCAGCUCUGCAGUGUCAAAGGUGACAAUCAUCAUGACAUGGAAGGACCAACUCUUAAGAUCACCGAAAUGAGCACUGAGGAUUGCCCUUUGGAUCUUUGAUACUCAUUAAUAAAUAUCCCAGAUGGCCAGUAAUUCAAUAUUCCUUUUCUUAUUUUUUCUUUUCUAGAUUAAGAUUUUCUGUAUUUAUUUUCUAUGCUAUAUAAUAAAUUGCCAUGGAUUUAGCAGCUGAAAACAAAGCACAUGUAUUAUUUAUGCCCCUGUUUCUGAACACAGCUUAGCUGGGUCCUCUGCUCUGGGUCUCACGAGACUACAAUCCAGGUGUUAGUCCAGAGCUCAUCUAAAGGCUUGAUGUGGGGAGAACCUGCUUGCAAACUUUUCAGAUUGUUGGCCUAAUUCCUUUCCUUGUAGCACUAGAUCUGAAAACUUCAAUUUCUUCCUGGCCGUUGGCUGCCCUCAGCUCUUGAAAGCUGCCCACCGUUCCCUGCCACUUGGCCUUCUCCGUGGACAGCUCACAACACAUCUGCGAGUUUCUUCAAGGCUAACAGGAGAAUGAGAGACUCUGCUAGCAAGAGUCUUAGGUUUCCAGUGCUGCUGUUCCUGGUUGAGAAACAACCCCACUAAAAGAGGAAGUGGACAUCCAGUGAAUAAAUUAAGUUCCACUACCGGGAUGGUAGUGUGAGCUCUGGCGACAGGCUGGGAAGUUGACAUUGUUGGCAAAUAUGUAAUUGUUUGUUCUUUAAAUAUAUUAAUUGUUCCACAAGUGUCCUAAUUAAUGAAGCCAGCUAUUUUGGUAAGAUGCAUUCGAACUCUUAAGUAAUUGAUUACUGUGAAGAUGUGUGAUGAUAGACUGGCAACUAUUAAAAGAAACAUCCAUUGUCUAGAACAUUACUGAAAACAACCCAAUGGGGAAAUAUGCCUCUUUGCAAUAAGAUCUAGAAUGAAAAACAAAAAAAGAGGCAAAAUAGUUUUAAUUGCACUAUUACAUUCACACACCAAAUCAUAUCUUGCUUCAAUAUUUAUUUUUAUGGCAAAAAUAGACUGUACUACAUUCAUUUCACAUAUAUUCAGUCAUUCGAACUUGUUUUCCCAUUAAAUGUACAUACUUUUAUAAACCAAUGACAGUUUAGAAGAAUUAAGUUCUUCUGAUUAUACAUUUUUACAUUACUAAUCAUCAGACAGUAGCACAUAAAAUUGCUUUUUAAACUAGUAAACACUACUAGAUGACUAUUUAUACUACCGUUUCAAAUAGGUAG